rnacentral:rRNA from 1 species
UACGUAGGGUGCAAGCGUUGACCGGAAUUAUUGGCGUAAAGAGCUCGUAGGCGGUUUGUCGCGUCUGCUGUGAAAACCCGAGGCUCAACCUCGGGCCUGCAGUGGGUACGGGCAGACUAGAGUGCGGUAGGGGAGAUUGGAAUUCCUGGUGUAGCAGUGGAAUGCGCAGAUAUCAGGAGGAACACCAAUGGCGAAGGCAGAUCUCUGGGCCUUACCUGACGCUGAGGAGCGAAAGCGUGGGUAGCGAACAGG